CUGGCGGCAUGCCUAACACAUGCAAGUCGAACGGAGUAAUGACUUCGGUAUACUUAGUGGCGAACGGGUGAGUAACACGUGAAUAAUCUGCCCUGUACGAUGGGAUAACAGCUGGAAACGGCUGCUAAUACCGUAUAUGACCACGCCGAGGCAUCGUCGGAGGGGUGAAAGCGCUUAAGCGGUACAGGAUGAGUUCGCGUCCAAUUAGCUAGUUGGGUGAGGUAACGGCCCACCAAGGCGACGAUUGGUAGCCGACCUGAGAGGGUGAUCGGCCACACUGGAACUGAGACACGGUCCAGACUCCUACGGGAGGCAGCAGUGGGGAAUAUUGGGCAAUGGAGGAAACUCUUACCCAGCAAUGCCGCGUGAGUGAUGAAGGUCUUCGGAUUGUAAAGCUCUUUGAUUGGGGACGAAUAAAUGACGGUACCCAAGGAACAAGCCCCGGCUAACUAUGUGCCAGCCGCCGC
rnacentral:rRNA from 1 species